GGAUAUCUAGAGAUCGUCGGUACUCCGUGCAGCAGCCGCGGUAUACGGAGGGUGCAAGCGUUACUCGGAAUCACUGGGCGUAAAGCGCAUGUAGGCGGUUAAUUAAGUUAGAAGUGAAAGCCCACAGCUUAACUGUGGAACAGGCUUCUAAAACUGAUUAACUAGAGUCUGGGAGAGGAAGAUGGAAUUAGUAGUGUAGGGGUAAAAUCCGUAGAGAUUACUAGGAAUACCGAAAGCGAAGGCGAUCUUCUGGAACAGUACUGACGCUGAGAUGCGAAAGCGUGGGGAGCAAACAGGAUUAGAUACCCUGGUAGUCCACGCCCUAAACGAUGAAUGUUAGUCGUUGGAGUGCUAGCCACUUCAGUGAUGCAGCUAACGCAUUAAACAUUCCGCCUGGGGAGUACGGCCGCAAGGUUAAAACUCAAAGGAAUAGACGGGGACCCGCACAAGUGGUGGAGCAUGUGGUUUAAUUCGAAGAUACGCGAAGAACCUUACCUGGCCUUGACAUAUACCAGAACCUACCAGAGAUGGUGGGGUGCCUUCGGGAACUGGUAUACAGGUGCUGCACGGUGUCCGUCAGCUCGUGGUCCGUGAGAUGUGGGUUAAGUCCCGCAACGAGGCGCAACCCUCGUGACUAGUUACUAACAGCAUAGGCUGAGGACUCUAGUCAGACUGCCUUCGUAAGGAGGAGGAAGGUGGGGACGACGUCAAGUCAUCAUGGCCCUUACGGCCAGGGGACACACGUGCUACAUGGGGAGGCCAUGAAAGCGAAAUCGGAGAUGGGCAAUCUAUAAACUUCUCUCCAAUCCGGGGUUGAUCCUUGGGACUUCGCUUACUUUGAAGGUUGGGGAUCACUAAGUGAUCCGGGGAUUCAGGCUGGGCCCGGGGGAGUAACCUGUCCCGGGGGUUUGGUCCACCCGGGCUGGGAACCCUGGGGGUUUGGUUCCCCCGGAAGGGGGUUGCCAAAAAGGGACCCGCCAGGGGGUUCCGCGGG
rnacentral:rRNA from 1 species